AAAGUAAACAAACAACAAAGUUACCAUCUCCACCAGUAACAUUACUCUUCGACGCCAACCAACCAUGCCUCUUCUAAUCUUUAUCCUCCUUCAUCGUUCUUGCUUCAUCACCAUUAAAAAGCUUCAGAUUUUUUUUUAGCCAUUGUCACACAUCUUCAAGCCUACACCCAUCACCAUUAUCAUCACUCGUAUUUUGGGCAUCGAAGAGGGGAAGAGGGAUCGUUGUGGCUUGCGUUUUCGAGUCAAAGAAGACGAAAUAUUGGGUAUUUAUUCUUUAGUCUACCUUCCAAUUACUUCAAUUUAUCAAAUUGCAGGUUCGUAGAGGAACCUUUUUGACUUGAGAUUGAGAUUUAUUGACCGUGGUUGCUGAUAAGGGACUUGAAGAUAGUUAUUAGCUUCUGGUUGGGUAAAAGAGUUCGUUGGAUCUCUUUGUGAUAAUAAUUUAAUAAUAUUUUCACUGUUAUUUAUUUGGCAAUAGGAUUUAUAUUCUGGUUUGUAAUAGUUAAUUACUAUCUAUCAGUUGGUGUGUAAUAAUUAUUUAGAACUUAUUAUUUAUUAUAAUUUUUAAUUAGAAUCAUUAGCCUUGCAGUUAUUAUUAUUAAUUAUCGCGGCGUAGCACCUCUGGAUUUCCGAGUUUAUUUAUGUUAAGUUGUUUAUUAAUUAUAGAGGGUUUUCUUUGUGAAAAAGAAGGAUGUGAGUCUCUAUCUGUGUAUUGACUACAGAGAGCUCAACAAUGUUACAGUGAGAAAUAAGUACCCCUUGCCAAGAAUAGAUGAUUUGUUCGAUCAGUUGGUGGGAGCUGGAGUUUUCUCGAAGAUUGAUCUAAGAUCUGGAUACCAUCAACUUCAUAUUGCAGAGAAUGAUAUAAUUUGUAGUUACUUUCUUUGUUUGAUUAGGCAGAGAAUGAUAUAAAUUGUGGGGUUAUCGGUACUUGAAGAUAGUUAGCUUUCGGUUGGGUUAAAGAGUGUGUUGGAUCUCUUGUAAUCUAAUAAGACUUUAAUAAGACUCCCGCUGUUAUUUAUUUGAUUAUAGGAUUUAUAUUCUGGUUUGUAAUAAUUAAUUACUUUCUAUCUAGUUGGUCUGUAAUAAUUAUUUAGAACUUAUUGUUUAUUAUUAUUUUUAAUUUGAA